GCGUAAUAGCUCACUGGUCGAGUCGGCCUGCGCGGAAGAUGUAACGGGGCUAAACCAUGCACCGAAGCUGCGGCAGCGACACUGUGUGUUGUUGGGUAGGGGAGCGUUCUGUAAGCCUGUGAAGGUGGCCUGUGAGGGUUGCUGGAGGUAUCAGAAGUGCGAAUGCUGACAUAAGUAACGAUAAAGCGGGUGAAAAGCCCGCUCGCCGGAAGACCAA
rnacentral:rRNA from 1 species